AACGAACGCUGGCGGCAUGCCUAACACAUGCAAGUCGAACGAGACCUUCGGGUCUAGUGGCGCACGGGUGCGUAACGCGUGGGAACCUGCCCUUAGGUUCGGAAUAACACCCCGAAAGGGGUGCUAAUACCGGAUAAUGUCUUCGGACCAAAGAUUUAUCGCCUUUGGAUGGGCCCGCGUUGGAUUAGCUAGUUGGUAGGGUAAAAGCCUACCGCGGCGACGAUCCAUAGCUGGUCUGAGAGGAUGAUCAGCCACACUGAGACUGAGACACGGCCCAGACUCCUACGGGAGGCAGGAGUGGGGAAUAUAGGACAAUGGGCGAAAGCCUGAUCCAGCAAUGCCGGGUGAGUGAUGAAGGCCUUAGGGAUGUAAAGCUCUUUUACCCGGGAUGAUAAUGACAGUACCGGGAGAAUAAGCUCCGGCUAACUCCGUG
rnacentral:rRNA from 1 species